rnacentral:rRNA from 1 species
CGGUCAAGGUAGUAAGGGCGCACGGUGGAUGCCUCGGCACCCGAGCCGAUGAAGGACGUGGCUACCUGCGAAAAGCCCGGGGGAGCCGGUAGCGGGCGUUGAUCCCGGGAUGUCCGAAUGGGGGAACCCGGCCGGCGGGAACGCCGGUCACCGCUAGCCUUGCUAGCGGGGGGAACCUGGGGAACUGAAACAUCU